GGGCGCGUAGUGGAGUGGUUACCACGUUGGUCUUCGAUUCAUGUGGCCGGGUUUGCCCCCUGCUUACGUAACCGAACCAAAGUUCGUCGGUUCGAUCCCGGCCGUGCUCA
rnacentral:tRNA from 1 species